rnacentral:lncRNA from 1 species
UCUCCAUCACCUGAUCUCAGGUGAUCCACCCACCUCAGCCUCCCAAAGUGCUGGGACUACAGGCAUGAGCCACCACGCCUGGCCGAGAGACAGUUAAGUUAUACUUUAAAUGAUAAUAGGCCUCCCCCAAAACUCAGCUGCUUUUGUAAAGCUAAUGGGAGGCCAUCAGGCUGGGGGCAAGGAGGAGAGCCCGGAUCCUGCUAAGGUGCAGACAUAAACGAGUAUCAGCCAUUAUUCUGGAGGUUAUAAGAUAUGCACCUUCCCCAAUUACCCCUGCAAUCACACCAUUAUUGUAGAUUGGCCCUUAGAGUAUCUUUUCAGGUUUUUUGGCAUGUCUGACACUCAUGGCUCUACUUGGACCCACCAACCCUGCUCCUAUGGCUCCACCCAGAAGCCAUUCAGCCUAGAGGACAGCUCUGACCCCCCCUGUGAUUUCAUACAAUCAGCAGCAAGUAACUGUUACCUCACCAUCCCCACCCCUUCUGCCAGACUGCCUUUGAAAAACCUCUAACCUGUGAGCACGAGAUGAUUCCAGAACAAACUCUGUCUCCCAUGUGGCAUGACCAGCCUUGGGUCUCUUAAACUUUUUCUCCACUAUAAUGCCAUGGUCUUUAUGCAGCAGGCAGGAAGAAUUCAGGUGGUUAUAAUUCCGUAUGUGCUUUUUGAACAUUUUUCUACUGGGCUAUUGCUCUCUUCAUAAUGAUUUUUUUAACUUCUCUCUAUAAGGAACUGAUUUCAUCUGAAAUUGAAGAGACAAUCAGAGAAAAACUAUAGACCACUCAUGAUGGUUGUUAUAUGUGCUUGGCUGGGCCAUGGGUCCCAGUGUUUGGUGAAACACAGCAGCAGAUGUCCCUCACACACAUGCCCUCUUGGUUCUGUUUCUUUGAAGAACCCCAGGAAAACACACAAAGGAAAAACAACUCGAUAGACAGAAGAUUCUUCAAUGACAACAAUGGAAGCCAUCUUCACCAUUCAACUAAACUUGAAUGGGAUAUUAUCAAACUUAAAAAAAAAUUAUCAACUGAUCGUG